rnacentral:rRNA from 1 species
UACGUAGGGGGCUAGCGUUGUCCGGAAUCAUUGGGCGUAAAGAGCGUGUAGGCGGCUCGGUAAGUCCGCUGUGAAAGUCCAGGGCUCAACCCUGGAAUGCCAGUGGAAACUGUCGAGCUAGAGUCCGGAAGAGGCGAGUGGAAUUCCUGGUGUAGCGGUGAAAUGCGUAGAUAUCAGGAGGAACACCGACGGCGAAGGCAGCGCCCUGGACGACACCUGACGCUCAGGCACGAAAGCUGGGGGAGCAAACAGG